CCUUUGUGAACAUUGGAAAUAUACACUGGAAGUUUCUGGUUAGUAUGAGCAGCAUUUCUGUGAAAACAGUUUGUUUCAAUAACACAUUAUUCAUAAUUUAUGUACUUUUUAAAUUUAUAUAUCUAUCGCAGUACAUAAAUGCAGAUGACAGCUGUCUGUAUUUGGUCGAUCCUUCAAGAAACUCUUUGGAGCAGGAAGAGUCUGACCGUGCAGCCAAAAGAGUCCGUGAAUACUUCAAAAUGAGGAGGACAUGCUACAACAAAACAGACUGGGUGAAUGUGAGACUUCGAGGAGGAGUACUGACACAUCCAUUUCAACGGGAUGGUUCUAGCUGAGGAGUAAUGGUCAUCAUGGUAAAGCAAGCCCAUCACAGAGCCCUGGCAUCCCCGCCCACCGCCUGUUUGACCCGAUGCACCUGAGGUCAGUCAGGUCCACACCUCCAGACUCACUAACAGCUUCCUCCCCUGGGCCAUCAGACUGCUAACAAACCCCACCCCUCUCCACCCAC
ensembl:lncRNA